rnacentral:rRNA from 1 species
AGCGAACGCUGGCGGCAGGCUUAAUACAUGCAAGUCGAGCGCCCGUAGCAAUACGGGAGCGGCAGACGGGUGAGUAACACGUGGGAACAUGCCCUUCGGUUCGGAAUAACUCAGGGAAACUUGAGCUAAUACCGGAUACGCCCUACGGGAAAGAUUAUCGCCGAAGGAUUGCCCGCGUCCGAUUAGCUAGUUGGUGAGGUAACGGCUCACCAAGGCGACGAUCGGUAGCNGGU